CAUUUUCGGUGACGGCUUCUCGUAAAAGCUAGUUACCACGAUUGAACUGUUUUGCUAGAACAGUUCAAUCUUGAAAAAGGCCACCCUUGCAGGGGUGGUUUUUUUUCU
rnacentral:antisense_RNA from 1 species